rnacentral:rRNA from 1 species
AUUGAACGCUGGCGGCAGGCCUAACACAUGCAAGUCGAGCGAGCGGCGGACGGGUGAGUAAUGUCUGGGAAACUGCCUGAUGGAGGUGGAUAACUACUGGAAACGGUAGCUAAUACCGCAUACCAUCAGAUGUGCCCAGAUGGGGUUGGCUAGUAGGUGGGGUAAUGGCUCCCCUAGGCGACGAUCCCUAGCUGGUCUGAGAGGAGGACCAGCCACACUGGAACUGAGACACGGUCCAGACUCCUACGGUAGGCAGCAGUGGGGAAUAGUGCACAAUGGGCGCAAGCCUGAUGCAGCCAUGCCGCUUGUGUGAAUAAGGCCUUAGGGUUGUAAAGCACUUUCAGCGGGGAGGCGUUACCCGCAGAAGAAGCACCGGCUAACUCCGUGCCAGCAGCCGCGGUAAUAC